GGGGUUUCCGCCCCUUAGUGCUGCAGCUAACGCAUUAAGCACUCCGCCUGGGGAGUACGACCGCAAGGUUGAAACUCAAAGGACUUGACGGGGACCCGCACAAGCGGUGGAGCAUGUGGUUUAAUUCGAAGCAACGCGAAGAACCUUACCAAAUCUUGACAUCCUCUGACCCCUCUAGAGAUAGAGUUUUCCCCUUCGGGGGACA
rnacentral:rRNA from 1 species